rnacentral:rRNA from 1 species
UACGUAGGGUGCGAGCGUUAAUCGGAAUUACUGGGCGUAAAGAGUGCGUAGGCGGUUCGUUAAGUCAGCUGUGAAAGCCCCGGGCUCAACCUGGGAACUGCGGUUGAAACUGGCGAACUAGAAUCUGGCAGAGGGGGGUGGAAUUCCACGUGUAGCAGUGAAAUGCGUAGAGAUGUGGAGGAACACCGAUGGCGAAGGCAGGUCUCUGGGCAUUAACUGACGCUGAGGAGCGAAAGCAUGGGGAGCGAACAGG